GCCCUACGUAGCUUAAACUAAAGCAUUGACCUUGUAAAUCAAAAAUGGGCAAUAUGCCCCUAGAGCA
rnacentral:tRNA from 1 species